rnacentral:tRNA from 1 species
GUUGAUAUAGCUCAGUUGGUAGAGCACACUCUUGGUAAGAGUGAGGUCGACAGUUCAAAUCUGUCUAUCAGCAUCA